CUUCCAGAAAAGCAAUUAGACUCCUGUUCACCGGAGUGGAGUGUGUGGCUAUAAUCUGUCGCCUGCCCGUCUUAUUCCACCGCUCUGCCCCACUUCUCUCCUGCUUUGCUCAGGCUGGGACUGGAGUGACUCUGGGUGGGGCUGGACCAUCCAGCCCAGGCAAUGGCUCGAUGACUGCAGCUGCAUGAGUGGCCUCAGGUGAGGAGAAGAGAACCUCCGAGCUGGGCACAGUUGGAUUACAGAAUAUGCAGGUAAGUGAUGCUUGUGCUCAGCCACCAGGCUUGGGAUUGUUUAUU
rnacentral:lncRNA from 1 species